rnacentral:rRNA from 1 species
AGAUUGAACGCUGGCGGCAUGCCUUACACAUGCAAGUCGAACGGCAGCGCGGGGCAACCUGGCGGCGAGUGGCGAACGGGUGAGUAAUAUAUCGGAACGUACCCUGGAGUGGGGGAUAACGUAGCGAAAGUUACGCUAAUACCGCAUACGAUCUAAGGAUGAAAGUGGGGGAUUCGCAAGAACCUCAUGCUCCUGGACGCGGCCGAUAUCUGAUUAGCUAGGUUGGUAGGGUAAGGCCUACCAAGGCA